rnacentral:rRNA from 1 species
AGCAGCCGCGGUAAUUCCAGCUCCAAUAGCGUAUAUUAAAGUUGUUGCAGUUAAAAAGCUCGUAGUUGAAUUUCGGGAUUGGCGCAUCGGUCGUGCCCCACGGGGUAUGAACUGGUGCAGUCAAUUUCUCACCUUCUGGAGAACCGCGAUGUCCUUAAUUGGAUGCCGCGGGGAACCAGGACCUUUACUUUGAAAAAAUUAGAGUGUUUAAAGCAGGCAUUUUUGCUUGAAUACAUUAGCAUGGAAUAAUAAAAUAGGACGGCAUGGUUCUAUUUUGUUGGUUUCUAGGACCACCGUAAUGAUUAAUAGGGAUAGUUGGGGGCAUUAGUAUUCAAUUGUCAGAGGUGAAAUUCUUGGAUUUAUUGAAGACUAACUACUGCGAAAGCAUUUGCCAAGGAUGUUUUCAUUAAUCAAGAACGAAAGUUAGGGGAUCGAAGACGAUCAGAUACCGUCGUAGUCUUAACCAUAAACUAUGCCGACUAGGAAUCAGACGAUGUAAUUUUUAAUGACUCGUUUGGCA